UACAGAGGGGGCGAGCGUUGUUCGGAAUUACUGGGCGUAAAGGGCGCGUAGGCGGCCAACUAAGUCAGACGUGAAAUCCCACGGCUCAACCGUGGAACUGCUUGGUAUACUGGUUGUCUUGGGCCAUCUAGGGCUAGCGGAACAAACGGUGGAGCGGUGAAAUGCGUAGAUAUCGUUUGGAACGCCAAUGGUGAAAACAGCUAGCUGGGGAUGUGCCGACGCUGAGACACGAAAGCCAGGGGAGCGAACGGG
rnacentral:rRNA from 1 species